rnacentral:rRNA from 1 species
ACACGGAGGGUGCAAGCGUUAUUCGGAAUUAUUGGGCGUAAAGGGCGCGUAGGCGGCCGAUCAGGUCAGAUGUGAAAGCCCGGGGCUUAACCCCGGAAGUGCAUUUGAAACCGGUUGGCUUGAGUAUGGGAGAGGAGAGCGGAAUUCCUGGUGUAGAGGUGAAAUUCGUAGAUAUCAGGAGGAACACCGGUGGCGAAGGCGGCUCUCUGGACCAAUACUGACGCUGAGGCGCGAAGGCGUGGGUAGC